CAGCAGCCGCCACGGUAAUACAGAGGGUGCGAGCGUUAAUCGGAUUUACUGGGCGUAAAGCGUGCGUAGGCGGCUUUUUAAGUCGGAUGUGAAAUCCCUGAGCUUAACUUAGGAAUUGCAUUCGAUACUGGGAAGCUAGAGUAUGGGAGAGGAUGGUAGAAUUCCAGGUGUAGCGGUGAAAUGCGUAGAGAUCUGGAGGAAUACCGAUGGCGAAGGCAGCCAUCUGGCCUAAUACUGACGCUGAGGUACGAAAGCAUGGGGAGCAAACAGGAUUAGAUACCCCGGUAGUCCCUGUCUCUUAUAC
rnacentral:rRNA from 1 species